rnacentral:rRNA from 1 species
UACAGAGGGUGCGAGCGUUGUCCGGAAUCACUGGGCGUAAAGGGCGCGUAGGCGGCCUGAUAAGUAGGGGGUGAAAUCCUGUGGCUUAACUGCAGGGCUGCCUCCUAGACUGUUAGGCUCGAGCACGGUAGAGGCAGAUGGAAUUCCCGGUGUAGCGGUGGAAUGCGUAGAGAUCGGGAAGAACAUCGGUGGCGAAGGCGGUCUGCUGGGCCGUUGCUGACGCUGAGGCGCGACAGCGUGGGGAGCGAACAGG